ACGGGGUGCAGCAGGCGCGAAAACUCCGCAAUGCGCGCAAGCGUGACGGGGGAAUCCCAAGUGCCGUUGGUCUUAUGAUCGACGGUUUUUAGGAAGUCUAAGAAGCUUCCAGAAUAAGGGCUGGGCAAGACUGGUGCCAGCCGCCGCGGUAACACCAGCAGCCCAAGUGGUGACCACGAUUAUUGGGCCUAAAGCGCUCGUAGCCGGAUCAGCAAGUCCCUUGUGAAAUCGGGCCGCCUAACGGUUCGGCGUGCAAGGGAUACUGUUGGUCUUGAGGCCGGGAGAGGUCGGAGGUACUCCUGGGGUAGCGGUGAAAUGCUCUAAUCCUAGGGGGACCACCAGUGGCGAAGGCGUCCGACCAGAACGGACCUGACGGUGAGGGGCGAAGGCUAGGGGAGCGAACGGGAUUAGAUACCCCGGUAGUCCUAGCUGUAAAGCAUGCGGGCCAGGUGUCUAGCGCUCCUUGAGGGCGCUAGGUGCCGGAGGGAAGCCGUUAAGCCCGCCGCCUGGGAAGUACGGCCGCAAGGCUGAAACUUAAAGAAAUUGGCGGGGGAGCACCACAAGAGGUGGGACCUGCGGUUCAAUUGGAUUCAACGCCGGAAAACUCACCAGGGGCGACAGCUGGUUGACGGCCAGAUUGACGAUCUUGCCCGACUAGCUGAGAGGUGGUGCAUGGCCAUCGUCAGCUCGUACCGUGAGGCGUCCUGUUAAGUCAG
rnacentral:rRNA from 1 species